rnacentral:miRNA from 1 species
AGCAAUACUGUUACCUGAAAUA